rnacentral:rRNA from 1 species
AUUGAACGCUGGCGGCAGGCCUAACACAUGCAAGUCGAGCGGAUGAAGGGAGCUUGCUCCUGGAUUCAGCGGCGGACGGGUGAGUAAUGCCUAGGAAUCUGCCUGGUAGUGGGGGAUAACGUCCGUAAACGGGCGCUAAUACCGCAUACGUCCUGAGGGAGAAAGUGGGGGAUCUUCGGACCUCACGCUAUCAGAUGAGCCUAGGUCGGAUUAGCUAGUUGGUGGGGUAAAGGCCUACCAAGGCGACUAUCCGUAACUGGUCUGAGAGGAUGAUCAGUCACACUGGAACUGAGACACGGUCCAGACUCCUACGGGAGGCAGCAGUGGGGAAUAUCGGACAAUGGGCGAAAGCCUGAUACAGCAAUGCCGCGUGUGUGAAGAAGGUCUUCGGAUUGUAAAGCACUUUAAGUUGGGAGGAAGGGCAGUAAGUUAAUACCUUGCUGUUUUGACGUUACCAACAGAAUAAGCACCGGCUAACUUCGUG